rnacentral:rRNA from 1 species
CAAAAACAUAGCCAACUACAAAUAUGGAAGGUGUUACCUGCUCAGUGGCCAGUAAGUGAAAUAUUAUAAUGUAAUAUAAAACUGGUUAAACAGCUGCCUUAAUCCUAGAGGGUACUAAGUAAGCAUAAUCGGAUACCGUUUGAUUGGCGGAGAGUUGAAUGGACAAACGAGCGCAAAGCUGUCUCUAUAAGAAUAAUAAUUGAAUUAGGAGCUCAAGUGAAGAUACUUGGGUCAAAAGUAGGACGAAAAGACCCCGUGAAGCUUAACUAUAAGCUGUGUUAAUAGGAUAAUAUUUUGUAAUAGUGAAUACUAAUAAAACAAUUAAUUCAUUAACAUAAUGAAUUAAAUUAAGUUUUACUUUUCUUAUAGUAGCCAGCUUGGUAGUUUUGGUGGGGCGCCAGCACGUUAAAAAUAACAUGAAGUUAGCAAUUGUCAAGUCAAUAUAGACUAGUGUAAGAAACAUCUUUACACAGAGUUAAUAAACGGUAAAGUGACCCUCUCUAUAGUGAAUUUAUUUAUAAAGAAAGACAAAGAAUGAUAGUUACUCCGGGGAUAACAGGGUAAUAUUUACCCCCUGAAGACUGUUAUUUGGGGGGAUGUUUGCCACCUCGAUGUUGAAUUGGCUUUACCUAGUGGAGGAGACAGUACUAAGGGUGGGACUGUUCGUCCCCUAAGAAGCUACAUGAUUUGG